rnacentral:rRNA from 1 species
GGGCUCACACAAGCGGUGGAGCAUGUUGCUUAAUUCGAAGCAACGCGAAGAACCUUACCUGGGUUUGACAUGUACGGAUUAACCGGUGGAAACAUCGGCCACACUCGCAAGAGUGGAACGUGCACAGGUGCUGCAUGGCUGUCGUCAGCUCGUGCUGUGAAGUGUCGGGUUAAGUCCCUUAACGAGCGCAACCCUUGUCGCUAGUUGCUAACAGGUAAUGCUGAGGACUCUAGCGAGACUGCCGGUGUCAAACCGGAGGAAGGCGGGGAUGACGUCAAGUCCUCAUGGCCCUUACAUCCAGGGUUGCAAACGUGCUACAAUGGUGCAUACAGAGCGACGCAAGACCGCGAGGUGGAGCAAAUCGCAAAAAAUGCACCCCAGUUCGGAUUGCAGGCUGCAACUCGCCUGCAUGAAGCCGGAAUCGCUAGUAAUCGGAGAUCAGCUACGCUCCGGUGAAUAAGUUCCUGAGCCUU